UACGGGGGGGGUAAGCGUUGUUCGGAAUUACUGGGCGUAAAGGGCUCGUAGGCGGCCAACUAAGUCAGACGUGAAAUCCCUCAGCUUAACUGGGGAACUGCGUCCGAUACUGGGGGGCUUGAAUCCGGGAGAGGGAUGUGGAAUUCCAGGUGUAGCGGUGAAAUGCGUAGAUAUCUGGAGGAACACCGGUGGCGAAGGCGGCAUCCUGGACCGGUAUUGACGCUGAGGCGCGAAAGCCAGGGGAGCAAACGGG
rnacentral:rRNA from 1 species